UGUAAAAAAAUAAAUAUAAAUAUAAAAUAUACUUUUCUUGCAGAUCGAUGGCCUGCUUCUGCUGACCAACCAGAUUUUCCGUUGCGAUAAUUAUUUUUUAUCCCACUCGCCGAUGAUCGCGAUCACGUUCAUUUUUGCAUUACUAGAUGGCGUAUGGAUAACCAUUAAAAAAAUGCAACAAUUCGAUGGCACUGCAAUGAGAGAAAUGAGAGAACUAUUUAGUGGGAAAAUGAAAAGGGUAAUUGUAUUUAUAAUCGCUUCUAUUUUGACUCCUGGAUGGCCAACACAAAUGAUCGGAAAAAUGAUCGCGAUCAUUUUCAAUGAAUGAGGACCGGCGAUAAAAAAAAUUGAUCGUGAUCGCGAUCACGGCAAGUCUGUUAUCAACAUGGGACACAAAAAAAGGAACAUAAGCACAAGAAUGUCUUCCGCUGCCGUAUAUUUACCUACUCUGCUCAUUAUUGAAAACAAUAGCCAAUUCGAGGUCUUCCGAUUGAAGCUAUCAACCAUCACAAAAAAGGUGCGAUGCAACAUACAAUGUAUUUUCUAUUCAAUUGCUACAAAGAUUACAGUAAUGGAUCAUGACGGCGAUUUCAUUGGUGUGGCCGUUGGUCGGCGGGCUGCGACGACCCGUCGUUUCCUCCUUCUGGUAGUGCUGCUAGUCGCCAUCUUCGGAUCAGCAGGUCGAUCCUUCUGUGCCGCCAGCGAAGAAACUCCCGAUAAUCUGUGCUGUGAGCUGGUGAAUCUCGGUUGAUGUCGUGUUGUGGUUCGUACGUCGCUUCAGCAGGUGUUGGUGUUGGCAUCCCAGCUCUUGCCCCGGGGAUGGUGAUGACGAGGGUGUCUCGUCCACUUCCGUCUUUCACGAUUGUUACCAAUCGGUUUGUGUUCGAUCGGUUUGCCAUUUUCUUGAUUUUUUUUCCUUUUUUUUUCCUUCGAGUGUAAGGACGAGCGUGUGUUCUGUCUGAACGCUGUUUGUCAAGUUGCCGAGCAACGUGUUGUGUUUUUCAAUAGCAGCUUCGGUAAGCGGCUGAAUUUCAUUUAUAUUAUUUCUUUGCGUAAGCGAAAUGCUCUUGCAGAGUUGGAGGAAGUCGGUGAGGGCGUUAGUGAGCGUUGUGUUUCGUCGGCUAAACCUUUGCCUUCCCACCGAGUGUCAUAUUCUUUCGAUGCAUCGGAUAGAGAAAGAAGAGGGAAGGAAGAUAUGCGGAUAGAAGAAUAUAGAAGAAAUGGGGCGUAUGGGAGCUACCACGGAGAAGUAUAUGUAUGUAUAUCUAUCCAUAACGCUGAGGUAUAUUUUCUAGCCUAGACCAUAUGAAUACAAAAUAACAAAUGGAAAAGAAAUAAGCAUGAAGACAAAUUUGUCUUUCCGCUCGUCAUCGAAAGAUAGCACUACAAAAAAACUUAAGAUAGGGUGGAUAAAAUAAACGGUAGGGCUCGAUAAAGUUGGUGAAAUAUGAAACCAGAUACACUUUAAAUGGUUUUAAAAAGAGGGAAUCACAAUUACUUGCGACACACCAGGGAAGACAAAAGAAUAUGUUGAAAAACUUGUUUGUAGUAUUGAAUAAAAAAUAUAUAAGUGUAAAGCCUCCUCCCUCUCACAUCACCCCCUGGGUAAAAUCCAAAAUAAAACAUUUUCCGCAGUCCGUCGCUACUCGCUCCGGGGCUCCAUGGCGUAGAACGAUGUCCUUCAUGAAAAAUUCGGCCGCAUCUUUUGCCGUAGCCGUUGGGAUGGAUCGGGUUUCUGCCAAUUUCGUUUAGUAGUCCACUGCCACGAUAAUAUUUCUGUUUUCCCCGGCCGUCAUUGGAAACGGGCCCAGGAUGUCCAUGCCCACUUGCUCAAAGGGACGCUCCACCUUUAUUAUCUCCAUAUACCCCUGGGGUUCUCUUGGCGGCGACUUCCUCGCUUGAUAUAGGGUGCACACGUGGACGUAACUCACUACGCGCUGCUUUAGCCCGGGCCAGUAGUACUUCUCCUCGAUCCUGCUUAACGUACUUCUCGUCCCCAGAUGUCCCGACAUCAUACUGUACUGACUUGCUUUCAGCACCUCGCUCCUUUGCCCCGGGGGUAGGCACAGCCGUAGCCGCAUCCCGUGUUAGUAGUAGAAGCAUCCUCCCUCUAGGGUGAAUGACUUUAAGGAUUAAGACAAAUGUAUAUUAACACGGAACUCGGAGGCGUUUACCCACAAUGACGAUAGUGUAAAGCAUCCUCCCUCUCGGGUGAAUGACUUUACGGAUUAAGACAAAUAUAUUAACAUGGAACUCGGAGACGUUUACCCACAAUGACGACAGUGUUUUACUAGACUAGGCCAUAAAAUAUAAGGGAGACUACACGCACAAGAAUACGAGAAUACUUCUCUCUCUCACUUCUUAUGUUUUUUUUCGUUUUUCUUUUUUUUUCACGAGGUGCCAUAAAACAACCAAUGUAUUUCUAUUCGAUUACUACAAAGGGUACAAAAGAUCACGACGGCGAUGUCAUUGUUGUGACCGACAGUUGGUGGCUUGCGACGACCCGUCGUUUCUUUCUUCUGGUAGUGCUGCUCGGCGCCAUCGUCGGAUCAGCAGGUCGAUCCUUCUGUGUCGCCAGUGAAGAAACUCCCGAGAAUCAGUUCUGGGAGCUGGUGAAUCCCGGUCAAUGUCGGGUUGAGGUGCGUUCGUCACAGUAGGUGGUGAUAUCGGCAUCCCAGCUCUUGCCCCGGGGAUGGUGAUGACGAGGGUGUCUCGUCCGUUUCCGUCUGUCGCGAUGGUUACCAAUCGGUUUGCCAUUUUUCUGAUUUUUUCUUUUUUUUUUUUUUUUUCGAGUCUAAGUGCGAGCGUGUGUUCAGUCUGAACGCUGGUUGUUAAGUUGCCGAGCAACGUGUUGUGUUUUUUCCAAUGGCAGCUUCGGUAAGCGGCUGAAUUUCAUUUAUAUUAUUUCUUUGCGUAAGCGAAUUUCAUUUGCAGGGUUGGCGGAAGGCGGUGAGGGCAUUAGUGAGCGUCGUGUUUCGUCGGCUAACCCUUUGCCUUCCCGCCGAGUGUCGUAUUCUUUCGACGCAUCGGAUAGAGAAAGAAGAGGGAAGGAAGAUAUGCGGAAGAAGAAUAUAGAAGAAAUGGGGUGUAUGGGAGCUACCACGGAGAAGAAUAAGACCAAUUUUGUAAACCUAAACUGUAUAUAGUUAUGCUUUAAAUCGAACAAAUUCUACAUGUACCGAAAAGAGCUUGUAUGCUUUAUUACAGAUUGUUUUUUUUCCUUCA